CCCUUAGAUGUUCUGGGCCGCACGCGCGCUACACUGAUGCAUUCAAUGAGUUUCUUCAUGGUCCGAGAGGAAUGGGUAACCUUUUGAAAGUGCAUCGUGAUAGGGAUAGACUAUUGCAAUUAUUGGUCUUCAACGAGGAAUUCCUAGUAGACGUAGUUCAUCAGACUGCAUCGAUUACGUCCCUGCCCUUUGUACACACCGCCCGUCGCUCCUACCGAUUGAAUGCUCAGGUGAGCCAUUCGGACUUUCAUCAUGCUGGUUUCCAGUUUUGAUGAAGGAAAGUCUUGCGAACCUUAUCAUUUAGAGGAAGGAGAAGUCGUAACA
rnacentral:rRNA from 1 species